GGGCCAGUGGCGCAAUGGAUAACGUGUCUGACUACGGAUCAGAAGAUUCUAGGUUCGACUGCUGGCUCG
rnacentral:tRNA from 1 species